rnacentral:lncRNA from 1 species
AAGUACAGAAGUCUGAGACGACUGUGAAAAUGAGACGUUAUUAGUGGACAUAAAGUUGGUCUAAACAGUUGGUUGAGGUGCUCAACAGGAAAUCUGGUGUCUUAUUUUCAGUCGAGCUGAAAGCCAUGAAACUCAUUCUGCGGUGGAUUUUUUGCUUCAGUUUAGGUUUUGUCGCUGAUUGCCAAGUGAAUCGUUAUGGAUUGAAAGGAAGCUCAAUCCGUCUGAGCACGUAAUAACUUCGCAACGAUUAAACAGGAAAGAGGUGCUUACAGACGCAAAAGAAGUUUCCCCUCAUUUUGAGAAAAGAAUGAGCCUAAACGUCUCAGACAUGUCUUUGACCAUACACAACCUUGAGGAAAAUGACAGUGGACUGUAUGAAGUCAUUAAGAAGUGGGAGUCUGAACCUCUGGCUGCAUUCACACUUACAGUGGAGAGCACUGUCUCUAAGCCUGUAAUCAGAGUGGAUCAACAUGACUUUAAUUCGUCUGCUGAAGUGUGUCGGGCCGCAGUGAACUGUUCGGCUGAUGGCAGCUGGGCCACGUUUGACUGCCACCAAAAUAUCUGUACAAAGAUACGAUCCUCUCCAUUCUCCAUUAACAUCACUGUCACUGCACUGCACAGCAGCGGCAUCGAAUGCAACGUCAGCAACAACGUGAGCAAGAAUCAUUCUCAGACUCCCAUUACGUGCCAUGAAAAGCAGAAAAGUGAUUAUCGUUUUCUCCCAUCGCUCAUCUUCUGGAUCGUUGGCACCGUUUGUGGUGGUGUUUUGUUGGGUUUGGUUAUGGGUGGGAUUGUAGCAUUUGUCAAGAGAAGAAAAUGUUCAAAAGUUCAUCCACAGUCCAGUCGUGUUGUGAUUGAACAGCAUCAUGAAACAAUUUACUGCACCGUGGAAAAGCCGGCCACAUCCCAGACAUAUCCAGGAAACAACACUGUCAGCAACAAUGUAGAAACCAUCUACGACACUCCAUCACGACAUACCAAGGCUUGUCAAGUAGACAGUGUGGAGGUGAUGAGAGACAAUCAGGAGCAACAGCAAUCUGGACAAGACAGAACUAUUCAAGUAAAAGCUACAGUUCACCAGGCAGCAGAACCCGAUUCAGAUCCAAUAAACACUGUUUACUGCAAACUGGGAGAGAUAUGA